CUGAAACUAUAGCAUCUGCCAUUUAUGCGAUUUGGAGCUGCUUCUCUUUAUUUAUGGUGGAAAUCAAUCCAAUAUAGUAUUGGAUUUAGAUAAGUGACACUUCAACUAUUGGUUCACUCUUCACCUGACUACUAUGGUUGUGCGACGGCCGACGGUGACAA